GAUGAAGAACGUAGCGAAAUGCGAUAAGUAAUGUGAAUUGCAGAAUUCAGUGAAUCAUCGAAUCUUUGAACGCACAUUGCGCCCGGCAGUAUUCUGCCGGGCAUGCCUGUUCGAGCGUCAUUUCAACCAUCAAGCUAAGCUUGGUGUUGGGUGACUGUCCGCUUCACGGCGGACUCGCCUCAAAAUUAUUGGCGGCCGGUACAUUGGCUUCGAGCGCAGCAGAAACGCGAACUCGGGCCCGUCGUAUUGGCUCCCAGAAGCUAUCUUCACAAUUUUGACCUCGGAUCAGGUAGGGAUACCCGCUGAACUUAAGCAUAUCAAUAAGCGGAUGA
rnacentral:misc_RNA from 1 species